ACAAAUGUUUUAAAUGCUACACUUAUGAUCCAUCAACUUUGUCUUGCUCACUAUGCUUAAGGUUAGAGAAGAACAAAUACACUUUUGGUUCUGUUGGUGUUUUCCACCAACAGGGCCCAUGCACUUGAUCUCUGCCUUGUCUCUAUGAGCAGGACACAUUUUGAGAAACGUGAAGGCGUUUUACAACUCCCAGAUUCCAUCAAGUGAAGAACCGGGAUCUACGAGCACAAACACAAUGGAGAUCAGACACUUAGUUUCCCAAAGGAAAUAUUGAAGAACCUCUGUGUCCGAGUUGGUACCUUGUACACUCCAGCAAACUUCGUGGUGAUAGAGACUGGUACUGUGGAGAGGGGACCCAUCAUCUUAGGGAGGCCAUUCCUAAACACCAGAAGUGUCAUCUACGCUAAUGCUGCCAAGAUCAGUUUCUACAUCAAGGGGGAGAAGGAGACUUUCCUUCAAGAACAAGACUACACAAAUUUCAGAGCAAUCUUGACAUGAACCAAGGAAGAGGACCAACAGGAGGAACAGGAACAAGAAAAUGUGGACCGAGUCAACUAAGAUGGUCACUGUAGCUCAAGGAGGUCAAGAUCGUCAACUCAAGUCACCUUUCUUGAUCAAGAAGGACGACCCAGGUGUUCCAAGAAUCGAAUGCACAAACAAUGGAUAAUCUUUUCAGAAGACACUCUACGACACCGGAUCUAACGACAACAUAAUGGCCGCAGUCACUUAUCAGCUCCUGCAUGGAACCAUGCUCCUACAACCAAGGUACAUUCAGUUUCAAACAAUUUUCAGGUCAGGACAAGAAGAAGACAACGCAACCGCAACCAGAGGAGGCAAAUCAUCAAGGACGGACGGGUAGACUACGAAGGAGAAGUGAUAGGACUGAAGACAUACAACUUGAACAGAACUAUCCUGAGGAGACCGUAUCACCGAGUCAGGUGUGGAAAGAGAAGAUAGUUAUACACGAAGAGGAGGCGCCGCCGGAACCACCGACUACGCCACCCAGCAAAUCCCAGGACGACUGAAAACGGAGAGUCCCGUUCGGAGGACUUAAAAAUACCGAACGCCUUGCCAAGAGGUAAACUUGAUAGUUAUCCUUUUCCUUUCAAUUAUUCAAUUAUAGUUUGCUUAGUUAAUCAGGUUCAUGCUAUCUUGAAAAGAAAAUAAAAAUGCUAAAAAUAGUAAGCCCCAUGUGAGUAUGCUCAUGGCAUAAGACCCAUAGGUACAUUGACUGUGGUGGCAUCAAAAUAAAAUAAAUAUUUUUCUGCUUUAUAAAAACAAAAAAAAUAUAAAAACAGGGAGUAAUAUUUAUUAAGGAGUCUCAACAUGAUAAAGGCUAGAUAUUUAUGCUAAACACUUAAUUAGUUCCACAAGCUUUGUUGUCUAUUUGAGCUCCACAGAAUUUAAGAGUCAAGAAGACUAGCAGACGGAGGACAUUCUAAUCGCUGUCAAAAUACUGCUGACUUUCAAACACACCUCUGCCACCUGCUAGCUACAUCAAGAGAAAUUACGUCAAAAUUCAGCUUGGGGGAGAGCACCCCCAUUUAUCUCGAUAAGUAUUUCUAUCUAUCUUUAUACUUAUACUAUAUUAGAAUAUAAAUAUACAUAACUAUGAAAAAACAAAUAAAGAUUUUAUGCUUAUAUAUAUUUUGCUUAGUGUGUUUAAUAAAUAAAUAAAGUGGCUAUGCUAAUCUGUAUCUAAUAAAACUUAAGCAUGGAUAUCUUGAAUAGUUGCUCUGCCUAAUUUGCAAAUUUGAAGUUCUCUCUCAAGUUUAGAUAUAACUGUUAUAAUUUAAGGCUUGCUCUAGACCUAAACUUGUGGGAUGAAAACUUGAUCUGAAGUCUAAGUUGUUAACGGAUACGAUAUGGGAAGGUUGAGCUACUGUUUAUCUGUUCCUAGAGAUGCUAGAAUUCUGGAGAAUUUUAUCUUUGAAAAUCUUUAAAAUAUUGCAUGAUGAGUUCCUGUAUGAUGAGAGUUUAAAUUCCUACCACAGCCAUAUAUACAUGCUUAUUAGACCUUGAGCCACACAUUUAUUAUUUACUGCUUAUGAGCAUUCAGUGUGGUCAAGCUGUGUAGACCCUUAGGAGCUUGUCAUGUGGUUAAAUCAAGAUUUCACUUGCACGUCCACUCAUAUAUGCUACUUCUAUUCCGGAAGUACCAUCCACAUAUAUCCAUCCAUUUCUAUCUCCAGAACCAUUCAAAAAUAUUCUACUCCUAAUCCGGGAGAGAAUAACCAAAAAUAUUUCUGUCUUUCCCUUGUGAAAUAAAUGCUCAAGUUAUCUUGUUACUACCACUUGCUAUAUUAUCUCAAGAGAUGAGUGCUCUUAAAAAAAAAGAGAGAGAAGAAAAAAAAAGAAGAAAAAAUAUACGAGGAAAUAAAAAGGGGCAAGUGCCCGGAACCUCGAAGAAAAGAAAAAGUGAGACGAGAGGUAAAAAUGGACAAGUGUUCGACAGUAGAAUUAGGGGUACAAGAUACCCACCUGAGAGAAAAGAAAAAUAAGAGCAUCUCAUUCUCCUCAUAAAGUUUCAAAAGCAAGGAAGGUAUGUAUCCCCUCAAAGAGCAAAGUAGAAUUAGACUUCCACCAUUGUUAUCACUAUCAUCACCAUACAUCAUUCAUUCGCCACACAUGCACAUCUUGAUUUGGCUUAUUGAUUUGUUUCUUUGGAUCCAUGGUUUGACUAUGCAAUAAAUGUCUUGUAAGUAUGUAUAUCUCCCACCUAUGAGCUCCAGAUAUUAAAGCCUUAUUAGAGUAGGGUGAGAGAGAAGACAAUGUCACUAUGCUUCAUACCACAAAUACUACAUAUCUUGAGAGAAGGCAUAUACCAUCACUGCCUUGGUAAGGAUCCAAAAAUACCACAAAAGAGAGAUCUGAGAGAAUCAUACAAGGAAUCUCUGAGUUUUAUUUGAAAAUCUACAAAAACUCUAGAGCUAUAGCUGAUCAAGAAUAAGAGACAUGGCACUUGGCUAGACUGUUCUAUCUUUUAACCACUCAAGACAGAAGUGACAGUUAUAAGUCCCAUGGUGAAGGUAAAGUAAGUAAGUUUUAAGUCUUGACAGUUUACUCUAACUCAGAGAUGAGAUCUUAUUUAAAAAAAACAUGUGUACAUCAAUUUUUUAAAAAAAUAUUGCAACAAUUUAUGAUCCAUAGCUGAGUCUAUCCUUGCUCAGGGACGAGCAAGAGGUAAGCUUGGGGGAGUUUGUUGACGGUCCUUAAGUAUCAAAUUUAAUUAUCAAAUAAACAAAGAAAAGGAUCCAAAUGAAAUCAACAUCUAGGCUUAGGGUUUUAUCUGACAGAAUUCCACGAGUUUUGGUGUUUGUCUAUUUCUGCUGGGGGUUAUCAGGAAAUAAGGAAGAAAGGCCCACAUGUCGGGAUUACAUAGAGAUAUCAACCCACCGCGCAAUUUUCUACCAUCUAGAAGACUCCAGAAGCCACGAGACCGAAGCGGAGGCGAAACGGGGCCAGGCCCAGGGCGCCCGCCCUGAGGACCUGGGCGCCCGCCCACCUCUGGACUCCGUUCCGGACUCUCUUCGCAUACGACGUUCCACCGACCUAUUGGAUCCAGAAUAACAUAGUACCACCUCACCUAUCGACCCAAAAACACAUAGAAGGGGAGGACUAUAUAAGGAGACCCCCUCUGGCCCCUGGAGGAGACAAGAAAUUAUCAUAGAGAUUGAGGGGUGCCCUCGAAGGAAAACCUCUUCUCUAAAUAAUAUUUCUUUUUAGGCUUAGCAACCAAUGUAAAGUAGAAAUAGAUCUUCUAGUUUCUACUAGAUUGACAGAGAUAGAGUGGAGGUGUAGAUCAGAGGAAGGCCGGCCUGUCGGUGUCUACUCCGAGUUGUACCUACGGGAUCAAGUCUCCUAACCCGAGGCUUGCUUCUAAGAUUCUUCAGUAAUUCGACUUCUAAUACUAGUAAGUUCUUGUUUUAUUGUUCUUUGGUUUAUGAGUUUACUUUAAUCCUCUUCCG
rnacentral:lncRNA from 1 species